rnacentral:misc_RNA from 1 species
CGCACCUUGCGCUCCUUGGUAUUCCGAGGAGCAUGCCUGUUUGAGUGUCUUGAAAUCAUCAAACCCCUCCGGUUUCUUGCUGGAGCGGGUUUGGACUUGGGGGUUUCUUGCUGCCGCUCGCGGUGGCUCCCCUUAAAUUGAUCGGUCGGGCUUUUCGUGUGGCUUGUCCCUUGGCGUUGUAUCAACCUCGUCGCUGGACGGCUCGCGAGCUUUAGCGCCCCUCCAAGACCCAGCCUCUGGAGCGGCGGUCAACUUCAAUUUGUGAUCUGACCUCAAAUCAGGUAGGACUACCCGCUGAACUUAA